GACGAACGCUGGCGGCGUGCUUAACACAUGCAAGUCGAACGGAAAGGCCCUGCUUUUGUGGGGUGCUCGAGUGGCGAACGGGUGAGUAACACGUGAGUAACCUGCCCUUGACUUUGGGAUAACUUCAGGAAACUGGGGCUAAUACCGGAUAGGAGCUCCUGCUGCAUGGUGGGGGUUGGAAAGUUUCGGCGGUUGGGGAUGGACUCGCGGCUUAUCAGCUUGUUGGUGGGGUAGUGGCUUACCAAGGCUUUGACGGGUAGCCGGCCUGAGAGGGUGACCGGCCACAUUGGGACUGAGAUACGGCCCAGACUCCUACGGGAGGCAGCAGUGGGGAAUAUUGCACAAUGGGCGGAAGCCUGAUGCAGCAACGCCGCGUGCGGGAUGACGGCCUUCGGGUUGUAAACCGCUUUCGCCUGUGACGAAGCGUGAGUGACGGUAAUGGGUAAAGAAGCACCGGCUAACUACGUGCCAGCAGCCGCGGUGAUACGUAGGGUGCGAGCGUUGUCCGGAUUUAUUGGGCGUAAAGGGCUCGUAGGUGGUUGAUCGCGUCGGAAGUGUAAUCUUGGGGCUUAACCCUGAGCGUGCUUUCGAUACGGGUUGACUUGAGGAAGGUAGGGGAGAAUGGAAUUCCUGGUGGAGCGGUGGAAUGCGCAGAUAUCAGGAGGAACACCAGUGGCGAAGGCGGUUCUCUGGGCCUUUCCUGACGCUGAGGAGCGAAAGCGUGGGGAGCGAACAGGCUUAGAUACCCUGGUAGUCCACGCUGUAAACGGUGGGUACUAGGUGUGGGGUCCAUUCCACGGGUUCCGUGCCGUAGCUAACGCUUUAAGUACCCCGCCUGGGGAGUACGGCCGCAAGGCUAAAACUCAAAGGAAUUGACGGGGCCCCGCACAAGCGGCGGAGCAUGCGGAUUAAUUCGAUGCAACGCGUAGAACCUUACCUGGGUUUGACAUGGAUCGGGAGCGCUCAGAGAUGGGUGUGCCUCUUUUGGGGUCGGUUCACAGGUGGUGCAUGGCUGCCGUCAGCUCGUGUCGUGAGAUGUUGGGUUAAGUCCCGCAACGAGCGCAACCCUUGUUCACUGUUGCCAGCACGUUAUGGUGGGGACUCAGUGGAGACCGCCGGGGUCAACUCGGAGGAAGGUGGGGAUGACGUCAAGUCAUCAUGCCCCUUAUGUCCAGGGCUUCACGCAUGCUACAAUGGCUGGUACAGAGAGUGGCGAGCCUGUGAGGGUGAGCGAAUCUCGGAAAGCCGGUCUCAGUUCGGAUUGGGGUCUGCAACUCGACCUCAUGAAGUCGGAGUCACUAGUAAUCGCAGAUCAGCAACGCUGCGGUGAAUACGUUCCCGGGGCU
rnacentral:rRNA from 1 species